rnacentral:rRNA from 1 species
GAAGUGUGGACGCCAGUCUGCAUGGAGCCGACCUUGAAAUACCACCCUUUAAUGUUUGAUGUUCUAACGUUGACCCGUAAUCCGGGUUGCGGACAGUGUCUGGUGGGUAGUUUGACUGGGGCGGUCUCCUCCUAAAGAGUAACGGAGGAGCACGAAGGUUGGCUAAUCCUGGUCGGACAUCAGGAGGUUAGUGCAAUGGCAUAAGCCAGCUUGACUGCGAGCGUGACGGCGCGAGCAGGUGCGAAAGCAGGUCAUAGUGAUCCGGUGGUUCUGAAUGGAAGGGCCAUCGCUCAACGGAUAAAAGGUACUCCGGGGAUAACAGGCUGAUACCGCCCAAGAGUUCAUAUCGACGGCGGUGUUUGGCACCUCGAUGUCGGCUCAUCACAUCCUGGGGCUGAAGUAGGUCCCAAGGGUAUGGCUGUUCGCCAUUUAAAGUGGUACGCGAGCUGGGUUUAGAACGUCGUGAGACAGUUCGGUCCCUAUCUGCCGUGGGCGCUGGAGAACUGAGGGGGGCUGCUCCUAGUACGAGAGGACCGGAGUGGACGCAUCACUGGUGUUCGGGUUGUCAUGCCAAUGGCACUGCCCGGUAGCUAAAUGCGGAAGAGAUAAGUGCUGAAAGCAUCUAAGCACGAAACUUGCCCCGAGAUGAGUUCUCCCUGACUCCUUGAGAGUCCUGAAGGAACGUUGAAGACGACGACGUUGAUA